rnacentral:rRNA from 1 species
CGUCUAUAUACGUAUAGCAUAUCAAUAAGCGGAGGAAAAGAAACUAACAAGGAUUCCCCUUAGUAACGGCGAGUGAAGCGGGAAGAGCUCAAAUUUGAAAUCUUCAAGGGUUCUACCUUGACGAAUUGUAGUUUAAUAGAAGUGUUUUCUGUUAGUAGAGUGGCAAAAGUUCUUUGGAAUAGGAUCAUCAUAGAGGGUGAGAAUCCCGUAUUUGGUCAUUCUUUCUAGCUUUGUGAUACACUUUCAACGAGUCGGAUUGUUUGGGAAUGCAGUCCAAAAUGGGUGGUAAAUUUCAUCUAAAGCUAAAUAUUGGCGAGAGACCGAUAGCGAACAAGUACCGUGAGGGAAAGAUGAAAAGAACUUUGAAAAGAGAGUUAAACAGUACGUGAAAUUGUCAAAAGGGAAGCGUUUGACACCAGUGUUGUUUUUCCGAAAAUCAAUUACGAAUGUUUUGUUUUUAAGAAGUUAUGACUUCAUCGGCUUGCUUCUCUCUUUAUGAAACUUUCUUAAUGCACUUUUCGGUUAACAAGUCAACAUCAAUUUCUUUUGUUGUAAAAGGGUAUGAGGAAGGUGGCUUUCUUUUCGGAGAAAGUGUUUAUAGCCUUGUACCUCUGCAAUCGGAGAGAUUGAGGUCUGCAGCGUAGAUCCUUCGGGGUUAGAUACACUUGUGCUAAGUUAUAGCUUUUCAUAGACAACUUGUUGACUAUGUUUAGUCUUGUAGCUUACUCGCUUAUGCUAUUUUACCUACGCUUAGGAUGUUGAUAUGCAUGACUGAUAU